rnacentral:rRNA from 1 species
UACGUAGGGUGCGAGCGUUGUCCGGAAUUAUUGGGCGUAAAGAGCUCGUAGGCGGUGUGUCACGUCGGCCGUGAAAACCUGCAGCUUAACUGUGGGCGUGCGGUCGAUACGGGCAUCACUGGAGUUCGGCAGGGGAGACUGGAAUUCUUGGUGUAGCGGUGAAAUGCGUAGAUAUCAGGAGGAACACCGGUGGCGAAGGCGGGUCUCUGGGCCGAUACUGACGCUGAGGAGCGAAAGCGUGGGGAGCGAACAGG